UUCUCUCUUCUGGCUUCUGUGAACUGUGCUCAUCUCCUCUGGACCCUGUGGUGUUCGCGCCCUUUCCUGCCUUUUAUGGGAGCGCCUCUUCACGCGGCCUCGGCGUGCGGUCCUUCCACAGCUUCUUGGGACGAGGUCACGGUGCUCGCAUCCUGAUACUCACUGGUAGGCAGAGGAUGUGCGUCUUCACCUCCACAAAUGGCUUUACUCCUUUCAGCUCUGAGGGCCCCAUGUUCCUGGACCUCUCUCUAUUCUGCCCUGCGCUGCACAAGAGGGCUGGGAGAAGGUAUGGAAGCAGAGACACUGGUGAGGAGACGCUUGUGUCAUUCAGCGUGUCCUGAGUGGACCUCCCCAUCACUAAAUCAGACUCUCCAGCCUGAAAAGGUUCUUAAUGCUCAUCCAGAACGGCCAGCCAUCUGUCACUUGACGCCUCUGCCAAACAUCAAAAUGGAAACAUUCUGCCUUGCUGUCUUUGAAGAAAGCAGAAUACUGCAAAGGAUGAAGGAGGAUGGAGGGUUGUGCACAGGAAAAUUCCAGCCACAGGAACAACACCCAAACCCAGCAACUGGCCCUCCAUUCCACACAUGGGCACUCAGAGUGUGAAAAUAAAACCUAACCUUGCUUGCCACUGUGUGUUAUUAUCGUUACCUUGUACCCU
rnacentral:lncRNA from 1 species